GAUGAACGCUGACAGAAUGCUUAACACAUGCAAGUCGACUCGAGUCUUCGGACUUGGGUGGCGCACGGGUGAGUAACGCGUAAAGAACUUGCCUCUUAGACCGGGACAACAUCUGGAAACGGAUGCUAAUACCGGAUAUUAUGGUUUUUUCGCAUGGAGGAAUCAUGAAAGCUAGAUGCGCUAAGAGAGAGCUUUGCGUCCCAUUAGCUGGUUGGUGAGGUAACGGCCCACCAAGGCAAUGAUGGGUAGCCGGCCUGAGAGGGUGAACGGCCACAAGGGGACUGAGACACGGCCCUUACUCCUACGGGAGGCAGCAGUGGGGAAUAUUGGACAAUGGACCGCAAGUCUGAUCCAGCAAUUCUGUGUGCACGAUGACGUUUUUCGGAAUGUUAAGUGCUUUCAGUCGGGAAGAAGUCAGUGACGGUACCGACAGAAGUAGCGACGGCUAAAUACGUGCCAGCAGCCGCGGUAAUACGUAUGUCUCAAGCGUUAUCCGGAUUUAUUGUGCGUAUAGCGCGUCUAGGCGGUAGGAAAGUCUGAUGUGAAAAUGCGGAGCUCAACUCCUUAUGGCGUUGGAUACUGCCUUUACUAGAUUACUGGAGAGGUAGGCGGAUCCACUUUUGUAUAGGUGAUUUCUUUGUAUAUUUGUAUGAUUGCCGAUGGGGAAGCCUGCCUACUGGACAGAUACUGACUUGAUGCGUGAUAGCGUGUGUAUGAUAACACGUCUAGAUAUACUGUUGUCCAAUUGUGAAAUUCCACUUUGUGUAUGUUGCUUAUCGAUUCUGUGUAGCUUGAGGGGGGGAUCUAAAUAUUUGUCUUAUGUUCUUUUUAUUUAGUGUUGAUUAUUCUG
rnacentral:rRNA from 1 species